rnacentral:misc_RNA from 1 species
CCGAGUUUGCAACUCCCAAACCCCUGUGAACAUACCAAUUGUUGCCUCGGCGGAUCAGCCCGCUCCCGGUAAAACGGGACGGUCCGCCAGAGGACCCCUAAACUCUGUUUCUAUAUGUAACUUCUGAGUAAAACCAUAAAUAAAUCA